rnacentral:rRNA from 1 species
UUAACUGUGGGCUUGCGGUGGGUACGGGCUGGCUUGAGUGCGGUAGGGGAGACUGGAAUUCCUGGUGUAGCGGUGGAAUGCGCAGAUAUCAGGAGGAACACCGGUGGCGAAGGCGGGUCUCUGGGCCGUUACUGACGCUGAGGAGCGAAAGCGUGGGGAGCGAACAGGAUUAGAUACCCUGGUAGUCCACGCUGUAAACGUUGGGCACUAGGUGUGGGGGCCGCCCUUGGUUUCUGCGCCGUAGCUAACGCUUUAAGUGCCCCGCCUGGGGAGUACGGCCGCAAGGCUAAAACUCAAAGGAAUUGACGGGGGCCCGCACAAGCGGCGGAGCAUGCGGAUUAAUUCGAUGCAACGCGAAGAACCUUACCAAGGCUUGACAUGCACCGCGACACUGCAGAGAUGUGGUGGCCUUCGGGGUGGUGUGCAGGUGGUGCAUGGUUGUCGUCAGCUCGUGUCGUGAGAUGUUGGGUUAAGUCCCGCAACGAGCGCAACCCUUGCCCUAUGUUGCCAGCACGUUAUGGUGGGGACUCGUGGGGGACUGCCGGGGUUAACUCGGAGGAAGGUGGGGAUGACGUCAAAUCAUCAUGCCCCUUAUGUCUUGGGCUUCACGCAUGCUACAAUGGCUGGUACAGAGGGUUGCGAUGCUGUGAGGCGGAGCGAAUCCCUUAAAGCCGGUCUCAGUUCGGAUUGGGGUCUGCAACUCGACCCCAUGAAGGUGGAGUCGCUAGUAAUCGCAGAUCAGCAACGCUGCGGUGAAUACGUUCUCGGGCCUUGUACACACCGCCCGUCACGUCACGAAAGUUGGUAACACCCGAAGCCCAUGGCCUAACCGU